rnacentral:rRNA from 1 species
GCGCGAAAACUUUACAAUGCUGGCAACAGCGAUAAGGGAACCUCGAGUGCCAGGUUACAAAUCUGGCUGUCGAGAUGCCUAAAAAGCAUUUCAUAGCAAGGGCCGGGCAAGACCGGUGCCAGCCGCCGCGGUAACACCGGCCGCUCGAGUGGUAACCGUUAUUAUUGGGUCUAAAGGGUCUGUAGCCGGCCGGAUAAGUCUCUUGAGAAAUCUGGCAGCUUAACUGUCGGGCUUUCAGGAGAUACUGUCUGGCUCGAGGCCGGGAGAGGUGAGAGGUACUUCAGGGGUAGGGGUGAAAUCUUGUAAUCCUUGAAGGACCACCAGUGGCGAAGGCGUCUCACCAGAACGGACCUGACGGCAAGGGACGAAAGCUAGGGGCACGAACCG